AUUGAACGCUGGCGGCAGGCCUAACACAUGCAAGUCGAGCGAGCGGCGGACGGGUGAGUAAUGUCGGGGAAACUGCCUGAUGGAGGGGGAUAACUACUGGAAACGGUAGCUAAUACCGCAUACCAUCAGAUGUGCCCAGAUGGAAUUAGCUAGUAGGUGGGGUAACGGCUCACCUAGGCGACGAUCCCUAGCUGGUCUGAGAGGAGGACCCGCCACACUGGAACUGAGACACGGUCCAUACUCCUACGGGCGGCAGCAGUGGGGAAUAUUGCACAAUGGGCGCAAGACUGAUGGAGCAAGGCCGCGUGAGUGAAGAAGGCCUUCGGGUUGUAAAGCACUUUCAGCAGGGAGGCGUUACCCGCAGAAGAAGCACCGGCUAACUCCGUGCCAGCAGCCGCGGUAAUUC
rnacentral:rRNA from 1 species